UACGUAGGGCGCAAGCGUUGUCCGGAAUUAUUGGGCGUAAAGAGCUCGUAGGCGGCUUGUCACGUCGGUUGUGAAAGCCCGGGGCUUAACCCCGGGUCUGCAGUCGAUACGGGCAGGCUAGAGUUCGGUAGGGGAGAUCGGAAUUCCUGGUGUAGCGGUGAAAUGCGCAGAUAUCAGGAGGAACACCGGUGGCGAAGGCGGUUCUCUGGGCAUGAUCUGACGCUGAGGAGCGAAAGUGUGGGGAGCGAACAGG
rnacentral:rRNA from 1 species